CCGGGUGAGAGCAGGCAGCGGCUGCUGCUGUCUCUCUCUCCACUGACUCUGCAAGCAGCCAGGUGAAGAAAGGGCCAGUAGCUAUGUGGCAUGCUGUCCCAUAUACUGCAGCAGUGUGUGUGAUCUCUCUUACUAAAUCUCAGUGCAUGACCUCAGGAACUUGGGAACUACGCGCUAUCACUUUAACACAAAUUUAUAAUAACACUGUAUAUCCUGUUGAAAGAUGAAGGUGAAUCCUUUGGCGUUGAGUUUCCAAUCAUCAGAGGAGUGGCAUGGACAUGGUGUGAUUGACAGGUGACUCAUUUCUCUUCACUGCACACUGUGAAUUUGUCACGGUGACAGCAAAACUCCUGUCAAUCCCAACCUUCUCGUCUCCCAAAAUCUAACGAUGGUAAUCAUCUUGAAAUAAAAGGGAAAAAUAAAUUAACUAAACAAAGACUGAUUCCACCAUAUGUCAGCAGUCAUCCUACAUUCUAAUUAGCCGCAAAGAAAAGGAGAGAAAUGUUCCACUUAGGAACACUGACUUUUUUCUUUUAAUUUCUUUUUUUUUUUCUCGUCUGU